UAACACGUAAGUAAUCUACCUUCGGAUGGGGAAUAACAGUCGGAAACGACUGCUAAUACCGCAUAAUGCAGCGGCACCUAAUGGUGACAGUUGUUAAAGUAUUUAUACGUCUGGAGAGGAGCUUGCGGCAGAUUAGCUAGUUGGUAAGGUAACGGCUUACCAAGGCGACGAUCUGUAUCCGACCUGAGAGGGUGGUCGGACACACUGACACUGAAUAACGGGUCAG
rnacentral:rRNA from 1 species